CAGCCUCAGCAAUUUAGCAAGGCCCUAAGUAGCUCAGAAAGACCCUGUAUCUAAAAUUUUUUUAAAAGGGCUGAGGAUGUGGCUCAAUGGUUGAGUGCCCCUGGGUUCAACUGAUGAUACCAAUUAAAAAAAAAAAAAAUUCUACACAAUGUUCAUAGUACUAUUCCUAAUAGCCCCAAAGUAGAAACAACCAAAUGUCCAUCACCUGAUGAAUAGACAUGCGGAAUGUGGUAUUUCCAUAUAGUAACAGUAUUAUACAACCAUAAAAAAAAAAUGAAGUACUAAUAGAGGCUAAACCUAAGUGCAAGAAGCCAGAAACAAAAAAGCCAUGGAUGUAUGACUUCAUUUUUAUAAAAUACCCAGAAGAGACAAAUCCAUAGAGACAAAGCCUGUUAGUUGUUACUAGGGACUAGGGGGAAGGGAAAAUGGGCAUAACCACUCAAAGGACAUGGGAUUUCAUUUUGGAGUGACAAAAAUGUUAGGGCUAAACAGUGAUGAUUGCACAACAGUCACUUAGAAGGUUGCUGAAAUGUACAAUUAAAUAAAAGCUAAUAUGACAAAUUUUACGUGUAUUUUACUACAAUUAAAAAGUAUUAUGUAACAAAGUACAUAGUAAAAUCCACACAUGUUGAAAAUCAUAGGGAAAUACUUCGAUUAUCUAGUCCUUUGUUCCAUGUUCAUUUUAAAUUAAUCAAUCAGUCUUGGUUAAUGACCACUCUUGGUAUUGGUUUGGUUAUUCAGAAACCUUGAAACUGAUUCUAGAACAGGUUUCUUGGAAGAGAUCCCAAAGCUGAGGGAAUCCCCAGUAUAUAAGUGAAUAAAUACCUAAGUUGUGGCUAAAUGGUCCCAGGUUACUAGGCAGGGGCUGGGGAUGAGGAGUAGAAAAUAGUGUAACUUAGAAGUAUAACUAUAGGCUAUUUAUUUUACCUAGAUGGAGAAACCAAAUACUGCAUUGAAGUUUCAAUUAUCCUGGCAUAUAUCCUUUAACUUAUAUUUUAUUUUUUCUUGUAACAGAUUUCUGACAUUGGAAGUAUGUAACUGGAAUAUAUCAAUUGUGU
rnacentral:lncRNA from 1 species